CAGAAGAAUAGGUACAUGUAAAUUUCAGGUGACCAUUACUUAAAUGCACGACGAUCUACUUUUGAUUGGUUUUACCUUGGGCCGACCCAUAUGUAUAAUGUAGACAUGUACACGUGCAGUACCUGUACGGGACUAUAGAACCAAUAUAGAAGAAACCUUACGUGAAAUUAUUGAAGCGGAAAGUUCAACCUGGAGAACAAUGACAGCUCUACACAAUGCCUGUGGAAUCAUUGUUAUAUCCGCAAUAUUUAGCGUCAAUCAAGCUACAGACGAUUAUUUGUUGACAACUGGACGACCACGUCCAGAAAAACCUAGGCCGAAGGACCUAUCAUCUUCAAACGCCGGAAUGAUAGGAGGGAUUGUGGGAGCCUGUAUCGCUGUAGUCGUCGUAGUCAUUGGCGUGGUCUACUAUGUUAGACUCAGACGAGGCAGGCAGAACCAACCAGACACCAAACCAGAUGUCAACAUAGCCUAUGAUAACCAUGGCAACAAUGCUACAAAAGAGUUAGCAGUAUCGGAUGACAAACGGGAACCCUACACGAGCCUGUCCACGACCACGGCAGUAUCGGAUGACAAACGGGAACCCUACACGAGCCUGUCCACGACCACGGCAGUAUCGGAUGACAAACGGGAACCCUACACGAGCCUGUCCACGACCACGGCAGUAUCGGAUGACAAACGGGAACCCUACACGAGCCUGUCCACGACCACGGCAGUAUCGGAUGACAAACGGGAACCCUACACGAGCCUGUCCACGACCACGGCAGUAUCGGAUGACAAACGGGAACCCUACACGAGCCUGUCCACGACCACGGCAGUAUCGGAUGACAAACGGGAACCCUACACGAGCCUGUCCACGACCACGGCAGUACACGUGUAUGACGAUUUGGUCCGAAAUGUAGGCGGAACCUCAGAUAGAGACGAAAUUGAAUAUAGCUACAUUAGCGAGAGUGAUAUAAUAGCGGCACAAAAAGAGUCGGGAAAUCCAAUCCCAUCAGUUGGAAACAAAUAAUCAACUCGUCCAGGACAACAGGACAUUGAUGUACCCUCCUCUAUAAAGACAGAGUCGUCUGACAUUGUGACUGACGACCCUCCUAAAGAGAAACAAAUCCAUGGUCAACUAUACUUAAACUUGUUGGAGGGUGACAAGUCAAAUAACAAGAUCGGACAUCAACAAAUAUCGUCAGAUAACGGAAUAACACACCCCCAGGAAUAUCUGGUUAUAGAACCAGACCUAACGGGAUAACUCGACCCCAGGGAUAUCUGGUUAUAGAACCAGACCUAACGAGAUAACCCGACCCCAGGAAUAUCUGGUUAUAGAACCAGACCUAACGGGAUAACUCGACCCCAGGAAUAUCUGGUUAUAGAACCAGACCUAACGGGAUAACACACCCCCAGGAAUAUCUGGUUAUAGAACCAGACCUAACGGGAUAACCCGACCCCAGGGAUAUUUGGUUAUAGAACCAGACCUAACGGGAUAACUCGACCCCAGGAAUAUCUAGUUAUAGAACCAGACCUAACGGAAUAACACACCCCCAGGAAUAUCUGGUUAUAGAACCAGACCAAACGAGAUAACCCGACCCCAGGAAUAUCUGGUUAUAGAACCAGACCUAACGGGAUAACUCGACCCCAGGGAUAUCUGGUUAUAGAACCAGACCUAACGGGAUAACUCGACCCCAGGGAUAUCUGGUUAUAGAACCAGACCUAAGGUUAUAGAACCAGACCUAACGGGAUAACUCGACCCCAGGAAUAUCUGGUUAUAGAACCAGACCUAACGGGAUAACACACCCCCAGGAAUAUCUGGUUAUAGAACCAGACCUAACGGGAUAACCCGACCCCAGGGAUAUUUGGUUAUAGAACCAGACCUAACGGGAUAACUCGACCCCAGGAAUAUCUAGUUAUAGAACCAGACCUAACUGGAUAACUCAACCCCAGGAAUAUCUGGUUAUAGAACCAGACCAAACGAGAUAACCCGACCCCAGGAAUAUCUGGUUCUAGGAGCAGAACUUACGGGAUAGCAUUAAUAUUGCAAUACGUUCCAACUGUUUCAUUCAACCACGGACUAUCUAAGUCCAUGUUUCAAAUUUUUGACGAUUGUGUUACUGAUGCAUUUAUGUUUAAGUGAUAGCAGUGACCUUUUGUAAUAUGAAUUUAAAAACAACGCCGUAAAAAGGAAUUUGGUUUAAAUGUCUGAGAUGUGCUCAAUAUGUAGCAUAUAUGCAUUUGUUUCAAAUCAUCGAGUUUACUAUUGUUGUGCGCUCUAUGUAACUGUAGAUUAUUUUUACAAAUAUCUUACUAUAAUCACGAAAUAAACUAAAUGUAUGAAAAUAGAACAAGCUCAUUGAUAACUUAGACGUUUAAAAUGACAAGUAUUUAUGUAUGGUUCAGAUUAUCAAUUAAUGAAAAUUAUGCAAAGAACAUAUUUCUGUAUUUCGUUAAAACAUAUGUUCAGAUCAUUGUAUCUAUUUCAGAGCUAUAACAGAUACCCGUAGCUCGUUAAUAUGUCCAAUGUUAGCUGAAAUAAAGUUUAUUGUGAUGCUGAUGUUUUU